rnacentral:rRNA from 1 species
AUUGAACGCUGGCGGCAGGCCUAACACAUGCAAGUCGAGCGGAUGAAGGGAGCUUGCUCCUGGAUUCAACGGCGGACGGGUGAGUAAUGCCUAGGAAUCUGCCUGGUAGUGGGGGAUAACGUCCGGAAACGGGCGCUAAUACCGCAUACGUCCUGAGGGAGAAAGUGGGGGAUCUUCGAACCUCAAGCUAUCAGAUGAGCCUAGGUCGGAUUAGCUAGUUGGUGGGGUAAAGGCCUACCAAGGCGACGAUCCGUAACUGGUCUGAGAGGAUGAUCAGUCACACUGGAACUGAGACACGGUCCAGACUCCUACGGGAGGCAGCAGUGGGGAAUAUUGGGCAAUGGGCGAAAGCCUGAUCCAGCCAUGCCGCGUGUGUGAAGAAGGUCUUCGGAUUGUAAAGCACUUUAAGUUGGGAGGAAGGGCAGUAAGUUAAUACCUUGCUGUUUUGACGUUACCAACAGAAUAAGCACCGGCUAACUUCGUG